GUUCAGUUAGAUUCGAGUGCGGCGUUGCUGAAACUGGCAGAUAUCUUGCACUAACUAGAAAGAAUAAUUGUAAUUAAAAUCGGUGGCUGUUAUAACAUAAGGGCGCUUCGCAUUUAUAUAGACUCGGGGCGCAGGCUUCGCGGCUCUGAACGUGUGGCUGUGCGGCGGGCCGCACGCGCCAUCGCAGGUUUUAAUUCUAUAUCGUGCAGUGAAUAUUUUAUUUUCAUCGUUAUAAUACCGUAUAAAAUUAUAAAUCACAUGGUUAUUGUUAAAUUAUGCGCGUUUAGUGUCAUUUUUUUUUAAUCAGUGUUUGUGGUGAAAUAAAAUUGUGAUCGUAUCAUAUCUCUUUAAAAGUAGCAACGUUUGCAUGCUGCAAACAGUACGUUAAGGCGUAGUGUGAAGAAAAUUAUGUGGCUGGGGAUCGAGCUAUAAACUUCCUACAUCAAGUAGUAUCGUAUAAGAGUAGCUUCCGGUAGUCCACCGAACUGACGUUUCUAAGAUGAAUGACGAAAA